rnacentral:tRNA from 1 species
GGCUGCAUGGCGUAGCGGUUGCACAUCUGCUUUACAUGCAGAAGGUCCUGGGUUCACGUCCCAGUGGAGCCA